UACGGAGGGUGCGAGCGUUGCUCGGAAUCACUGGGCGUAAAGGGUGCGUAGGCGGGUCUUUAAGUCAGGGGUGAAAUCCUGGAGCUCAACUCCAGAACUGCCUUUGGUACUGAAGAUCUUGAGUUCGGGAGAGGUGAGUGGAACUGCGAGUGUAGAGGUGAAAUUCGUAGAUAUUCGCAAGAACACCAGUGGCGAAGGCGGCUCACUGGCCCGAUACUGACGCUGAGGCACGAAAGCGUGGGGAGCAAACAGG
rnacentral:rRNA from 1 species